UCCAGAAUCACCUCAACAACACCUGCUGUCAGUGUUACUUCAUCAUCACCACAAGAUUGGUGGCCGUACCUCAUUGCGGUCAUAGGUUUACUGGCUCUCGUAAUCAUCACUGUGGCUGUCAUCAGACGGAAGAUGACUAAAGGGAAGAAACAACAGAUGGAUGACAAGGCGGUGAGUUUUAAAACUGAA